CCAUAAAACAAUAAUACCGCGAAUUUAUCAAAUUAAAAUGUUAGAAUAGGAAAUCAAUUAGAGAAAUGGCGCUUCAGAAUCGAUCUGUCUUUUUUAAUCUGUAGGUACUCGUAAUUUAAAAUUCUAACGUUGAGUAUGAAAUUAAAAUAUAAAUAAAUUUAUUCAUUUUUUUUAUACCAAAAAUUAGAACAAUGAGUCUUUAUAUAUAUUAUGAUUACUAUCCUUGUUAUUUUUAAAUACAUAUUUGUUUUUAACAUAAUUAAUCUACCUCGCAAUUGGUGGGCAAGUGUCUUCCAAAAAGACUACAAUAACAGAUAUACAUAUGGAAAAAUAAAAAAAAAAGGAAAAGAAUGUGGCAACAUGUUUCAGCGGCCCCCAAUUUGAUCUGGACGAACCAUAGUGUAUGCAGUGAAAUGCUACAUGCACUGCAUGAUUCUUAACGCCAACCAUAACUGUUGAUUGACUAUCGGUCCAUGUGUUGCAAGCACUGAUUACAAUUUGUGCUGCAACCUGAAGCAAGGCUACACGGACGCGUGCAUCAAACCCAGAGUGUAACCUGUGUAACCAAUUUAAUAGCAAAAGGAUUCGGAAGGUUGUUAUCUGUUGAGAAGAGUACGCAAGAAACUCAAGUUACUCUUUUAAAUCGCUGUCAACAUGUAUAGAAUUAGCUGGAAUACUUUACCUCUAAACUGGGGCGAGGCUAGUAACAGAUAUUAAAACUCUGGAUAAUAAUUCUAAAUUAGAGCCAUCUAGUGAAUAAAAGGAGCACUAUGAACAAUAUGAAUCCAAUGGCGGAAUUGUCUAUAGUUUCCUUCGUAUUCACGAUUAACGAGCACAAUACAUUUAUUUAUAGUAAAUGUACUAAUUGAAAUAAACAAGGAAACCAGUAGAUACAUAUCCAGUAUAUUUGUUUGCUGUAAUGCCUAGUAUCUAAUACAGAAGAAUUAACAUCCAAUAUUAUACAAGAGUGGUGACCAAGAAUUGGCCGGAGGAACGUUGGGAGACAACCCAUGCGAUGGACACGUGAUAUAAAUAGAACGGUAGGCAAGACCUGGACGCGCAUGACGAAGUAUCGGGUCAUUCGGCGGGAUCAUGAUACCAAACAAUGGGCGAACCCGGGUUGAAAUAGAUAGAUCAUGGCCGUAGCUAGAUGGGGGUGGGAGCUUUUAGGGGCAAUGCCCUACCUACCUUAAAAUUAACCCCUCAGAAAUUUUACACCUUUUUGAAGUCACUUAAUUAUGGCUUCUGCCCUACCAAAAAGUUCUUUAGCCCUACCUUAAACUUGAGUCUAGCUACGGCCCUGAGAUAGAUAGUAUAUCUAAUAUAGACAAAUUAAAAAG